UGGGCAUGCUUCGUUUGCUUUGCUCUUCUUCUUUCCAGUGCCAGACGGGUGAGUAACGCGUAAGAACCUACCUUUGGGAGGGGAAUAACAGCUGGAAAUGGCUGCUAAUACCCCGUAGGCUGAGGACCAAAAGGAGUAAUCCGCCCGAGGAGGGGCUCGCAUCUGAUUAGCUAGUUGGUGAGGCAAUAGCUUACCAAGGAGAUGAUCAGUAGCUGGUCCAAGAGGAUGAUCAGCCACACUGGGACUGAGACACGGCCCAGACUCCUACGAGAGGCAGCAGUGAGGAAUUUUUCGCAAUGGACGAAAGCCUGACGGAGCAACGCCGUGUGGAGGUAGAAGGCCCACGGGUCGUGAACUUCUUUUCUUGGAGAAGAAGCAAUGACGGUAUCUAGGGAAUAAGUAUCGGCUAACUCUAUGCCAGUAGCCACGGUAAUACAGAGGAUGCAA
rnacentral:ncRNA from 1 species